rnacentral:rRNA from 1 species
UACGAAGGGGGCUAGCGUUGUUCGGAAUUACUGGGCGUAAAGCGCACGCAGGCGGCGAUCCAAGUCAGGAGUGAAAGCCCUGGGCUCAACCCGGGAAUUGCUCUUGAUACUGGAUUGCUGGAAUCACGGAGAGGACAGUGGAAUUCCGAGUGUAGAGGUGAAAUUCGUAGAUAUUCGGAAGAACACCAGUGGCGAAGGCGACUGUCUGGCCGUCGAUUGACGCUCAUGUGCGAAAGCGUGGGGAGCAAACAGG